rnacentral:rRNA from 1 species
UACGAGGGUGCAGCGUGUCCGGAAUUAUUGGGCGUAAAGAGCUCGUAGGCGGUUUGUUGCGUCGGCUGUGAAAUCCCGAGGCUCAACCUCGGGUCUGCAGUCGAUACGAGCAAACUAGAGUGUUGCAGGGGAGACUGGAAUUCCUGGUGUAGCGGUGAAAUGCGCAGAUAUCAGGAGGAACACCAGUAGGCGAAGGCGGUUCUCUGGGCCUGACCUGACGCUGGAGGAGC